CAGCAGCCGCGGUAAAACGAAGGGGGCUAGCGUUGCUCGGAAUGACUGGGCGUAAAGGGCGCGUAGGCGGAUUGUUUAGUUAGGCGUGAAAUUCCUGGGCUUAACCUGGGGACUGCGCUUAAUACAGGCAGUCUAGAGUGAGGAAGAGGGUUGUGGAAUUCCCAGUGUAGAGGUGAAAUUCGUAGAUAUUGGGAAGAACACCGGUGGCGAAGGCGGCAACCUGGUCCUUGACUGACGCUGAGGCGCGAAAGCGUGGGGAGCAAACAGGAUUAGAUACCCCUGUAGUCCCUGUCUCUUAUAC
rnacentral:rRNA from 1 species